rnacentral:rRNA from 1 species
AUUGAACGCUGGCGGUAGGCCUAACACAUGCAAGUCGAACGCGAAAGUCCUUCGGGAUGAGUAGAGUGGCGGACGGGUGAGUAACGCGUAGGAAUCUAUCCUGUAGUGGGGGAUAAUGUUUCGAAAGGAACGCUAAUACCGCAUACGCCCCAAGGGGGAAAGCGGGGGGAUCUUCGGACCUCGUGCUAUAGGAGGAGCCUGCGUCGGAUUAGCUAGUUGGUGAGGUAAAGGGCUCACCAAGGCGACGAUCCGUAGCUGGUCUGAGAGGAUGAUCAGCCACACCGGAACUGAGACACGUCCGGACUCCUACGGAGGCAGCAGUGGGGAAUAUUGCGCAAUGGGCGAAAGCCUGACGCAGCCAUACCGCGUGUGUGAAGAAGGCCUUC